rnacentral:lncRNA from 1 species
AGGCGGGAGGAGGCGGGCGGAGGAGGCCGAAGGGCUGGAGGAGGGGGCCACAGCCGCGGACUUUCUCCCUCCCCCUCGUGCGUCGGCGGGAUUGUUGGGGCGCUGGGUCCCGGCCCCCGGAUUGUGAUGUUUCAGGUGGCGGUGGGCCGGGGGACGCAGCCCGGGCCCCAGGACCUGGUCCCCAGGUCUGGUCCUGCCCCCAGCACCUCGCUCCCGUCGCGGAGCAGGGCUGCCUCUUCCUCCUGCAGCCAGGCAUCAUCCUUAAUUUGCCCCAUCUGCUAGCCACCUCCCUGUUUUUAGACUCCAGUCUAUUUUCUGUAAUUGCUGUGGGCCAAAGUUGCACAGAAAAUCAUUCUCUUCACGAAGCUAAGAGCAGAGACAGCUUCCUGUCCAUCAGGAAGUGGGAGGCAGAGAGCCUGGCUGAGACCUUGUGCUGUGGGCUUGAGCCACUGGACAGGCCACUCUGUGUGACACCAUGAUGACUGACAGAGCCUCCUGGGGUGGAGGCCACAUCGCACAGGCAGUGGCAGCUCCUGGGCUGGGAGGAUGACCAUCGCCACUGAUUGAGCACCAAGUGUGUGCCAGGUGCGGUCUGGAAAGAAUUUCAGGUGGUUUUCAGAGGAGCAUGGAGGCCAGCCCUGAUCACGAGGGUGGACCCCAACAUGGAUUCACUGAACUCUGGGGCACAGAGGCUCCCAUCAGCCCUGGCUCCCACUUGAUUCAGUAACAGCUGCUGCAGGUCCUGGCCACGCAGUGCUACAGUUUGGAUGUGUUUAGACCCCAAGCGUUCACGUAUUGGAAGUUGGGUCCCCCAAGUGGCAACUGGGGAGACUGUGGGACCCCUGAAAGGUGUUUGGGACAUCUUGGGUCUGCUGGGGAUGUUCCCCUUGGAAGAGAGUAAAGUCGUUUUCAGAGGUCUCUGGUUGUCCUUGGAAGAGUGGAUUGGUAUAUAAAGAUCAAACCUCACUGCUUCUGCUUUCUGGGUUCCUGGCUCCCACGAGAUGUGUCUCAUCCCACGUGUCCCCACUAGGAUGCCAGCCACUGUGAAUGUAGUGUGGCCAGGGGGGCCUUUGCCAGAGCUGGUGCUGUGCUGUUUGGACUUUAAACCUCAAAAACUGUGAGCUAAAUAAGCCUCUUUUCUUUACAAGUUACCCAGCUUCUGAUGCUUACUUAUAGUAACAGAAAGUAGACUAAUACAUCAGGUCACCUCCAGGUUUUUGCUUGAUGUGUUCCCCUUGAAUGCUAUGCCCUGAUUCCUCCUCUCACCUUUGCCUAGUUUAUUCCUUCUCUAUCACAACCACCUCAGGAGAACUUCUCAGACACCCCGGGCCAGCCGAAUGCCUCCCGGUACCACUUCCAUGGUGUUAGAUACAAUCUCACCCUGGGGCCCCGUGUCCGCAUUGCACAUUGUGCAUACUUGAUGGUUCCUCCAUAAACGGAGAAGGCUGUGAAAACAAGGCUGUGUCUUUCACACGUCUCCAUUUGUGUACUUGGUGUACUAGCCUGGCACAUAGACGCCUCCAUGAUGAACAAAUGCAUGAAUGAAUGACUCUAAUUCUAGGCCUGAACUUAGGAAGUGGGGGCCAAAUGAGCACCAGUUGAUCCUCAUGUCCUAGGGCCAAGUAAACUGGGAAGUGGUCAAGCCAUGUUUGCAGUGGGAAGGCAAAUGCCAACCCCCAUGUCCCCUUCCUGGUGUGCACAGCCUGCGAGGGAGGGGUGUCUGACUCCAAGGGACUCGGGAAUUUGGCCUCUUUGUGGACUAACAGUGCUCUUCUUUUACGUUUUUUUUGGGGAAGGAAAAGUACGCUGCCCGAAUCCUUGGCUUCAUGGCGGUUUCCAGACACCAUGCUUACAAAGUUGCUGGGUUCUUCUAGAAUCCUUGACCUUGUUUAAAUCUGAUUUCGGCUGAGGGAGGGACUUGGAGUCAGAGACAGGACGGAACCUCUUUGAAACUCCUGGCCCCAGGGCUCUUCUGCCUUUGUGUACAGGACUGAGUUUGGGCAGGAAGCCCGGAUAGAGGUUUACAUCUCUGCCCCCAGACCACUGUAGGAACUAAUAGAAACUACAGAAGCGAACCCCAGAGUUCCCUCCCGGUGUCUGUCUGGACAGAAGUGUGAUGGGCUGAGACAGAGGCGUUGCCUCUCCACGCAGCCGUAACCCCAAGGCCAGGCAGGCAGGGGUCAGAUCUGCCAAGUCAGCUGUCCAGGAUGGGAGCGUAAGGCCACCUGGCUUUGCCCUGAAGUUCUCACUACCGACUCUGCGCCCAGACUGGUGCUUAGCUGUGGAAUUAGUCAUAUUAGGCACGUGACCCCGUGGGCCAUGAGAAUGGUAGAUGCUGAGACACAAGACUCCAAGAGCCAGCACAAGGAUGGAGGCUUGUGACACAGCGCGGUGGACAGGAGUGGAGGGGCCAGUCCUGCUUUGGCUCCUUUGAGCCGUGCGGCCUCAGCUGUAUUCCUAACCUCAUUGCUGCCAUGGUACAGUGGGGUCUCCAGACUCCACCUGGUUGGAUUGUGUGAGGACAGAGACCAGCAUAUGGAGAACCCAGGCUUUGGCCAAAGCCAGAUCAUUUCCACAGCACGAGAUGAACCACAUUUGGAAGAAGAACUGCUCCUGAACUUGGAGAACUAAAAACAAAACAAAAAAAUUUCUAAGAGUCUUAAAGGCACAGCAAGUUUGUAAAUUGGGUGACACCUCCGCCCUCAAGGAAGCCACAGUUAUUCAUGAGUAGCAGACCUCGACUUCAGCACACAUGGAAAUGGUUUGCAUGCCGACAUCGCCGGCCAGGUGGGUGACACCAGAUGGUCACCGUGACCAACAGCAGGAGCACACAGCCUGGAUCACCCAUCUUGAAGACACCCCAGGAACCCAUAAAUAAACCAGCUUUGGAU